rnacentral:rRNA from 1 species
GCGAUUCGCCCUUCGGGGUGCCCAGGCGCGAAAACUUUGCAAUACACGAAGGUGUGACAGGGCUAUCCCGAGUGCCAUCCGCUGAGGAAGGCUUUUACCCAGUCUAGAACGCUGGGGGAAUAAGGAGAGGGCAAGUCUGGUGUCAGCCGCCGCGGUAAUACCAGCUCUCCGAGUGGUGUGGAUGUUUAUUGGGCCUAAAGCAUCCGUAGCUGGCUAAGUUAGUCCCUUGUUAAAUCCACCGAAUUAAUCGUUGGAUUGCGGGGGAUACUGCUUGGCUAGGGGACGAGAGAGGCAGACGGUAUUUCCGGGGUAGGGGUGAAAUCCUAUAAUCCCGGGAAGACCACCAGUGGCGAAGGCUGUCUGCUAGAACGCGCCCGACGGUGAGGGAUGAAAGCUGGGGGAGCGAACCGGAUUAGAUACCCGGGUAGUCCCAGCUGUAAACGAUGCAGGCUAGGUGUUUGGACGGCCACGUGCCGUUCUAGUGCCGCAGGGAAGCUGUUAAGCCUGCCGCCUGGGGAGUACGAUCGCAAGAUUGAAACUUAAAGGAAUUGGCGGGGGAGCAC